UCUAUGAUCUUUAAGUCACUUCCAACUCAGCCAUUCUGUUGUUCUACGACCUUUCGGGCCCCUUCCAACCCAAGGUCCCUUCCUGAUGUCACCUCCAUUCUGCACAAACCCAAGAACAAUUCCUCCUAAAGACAAUUGCAUUUUCUUCCACCCGCAGGGACUGCAGGAUGUUUGCUGCUCACAGGUUAUUUUCACCCUCUCCGGCUUCAUGCCGGAGAUGCUGUGCAGGCACUGAUAGCCGGGAUUGCUUCACGCCGUGCCAAUAAAUCUGCCAUUUGCAGAGCAGGGUUUGCCAAGAAAA